rnacentral:rRNA from 1 species
CCUACGGGAGGCUGCAGUGGGGAAUAUUGGACAAUGGGGGCAACCCUGAUCCAGCCAUGCCGCGUGUGUGAAGAAGGCCCUCGGGUUGUAAAGCACUUUCAGUGAGGAAGAACGCCUGGUGGUUAAUACCCAUCAGGAAAGACAUCACUCACAGAAGAAGCACCGGCUAACUCCGUGCCAGCAGCCGCGGUAAUACGGAGGGUGCGAGCGUUAAUCGGAAUUACUGGGCGUAAAGCGCGCGUAGGUGGCUUGAUAAGCCGGUUGUGAAAGCCCCGGGCUCAACCUGGGAACGGCAUCCGGAACUGUCAAGCUAGAGUGCAGGAGAGGAAGGUAGCAUUCCCGGUGUAGCGGUGAAAUGCGUAGAGAUCGGGAGGAAUACCAGUGGCGAAGGCGGCCUUCUGGACUGACACUGACACUGAGGUGCGAAAGCGUGGGUAGCAAACAGGAUUAGAUACCCUUGUAGUC